rnacentral:rRNA from 1 species
ACUCAAAUGAAUUGACGGGGGCUCACACAAGCGGUGGAGCAUGUGGCUUAAUUCGAGGCUACGCGAAGAACCUUAUCCUGGGCUUGACAUGUGCGAAAGCGCUAGCAAGUAGCCUGCGGAAACGUAAGGCCAACGGUAUCCAGUCCGGAAGCUAGUACAGGUGCUGCAUGGCUGUCGUCAGCUCGUGUCGUGAGAUGUCGGGUUAAGUCCCAUAACGAGCGAAACCCUUGUUUCCAGUUGCCAGCGGGUCAAGCCGGGGACUCUGGAAAGACUGCCGGUGUUAAACCGGAGGAAGGCGGGGAUGACGUCAAGUCCUCAUGGCCUUGAUGCCCAGGGCUGCACACGUGCUACAAUGCCGUGAACAAAGGGAAGCCAACCCGCGAGGGGGAGCCAAUCCCAAAAAACACGGCCCAGUUCAGAUUGCAGGCUGCAACUCGCCUGCAUGAAGUUGGAAUCGCUAGUAAUCGCGGGUCAGCAACACCGCGGUGAAUGUGUUCCUGAGCCUUGCACACACCGCCCGU